UAAAUCAACGUUUUCCGGAGCCGGCAGGAUCCAUACAUUGAUAGUGCUUAAGCUAAAUAUAUGCAGGAAACCAAGAGAACUCUGAUGUAAAUAAGAGAAGCCCCCCUUUUACAUAACCAUAUAGUUUGUUCUCCUGGAUGUGAUUUCCUUCCUGGAUUUUUUGCGGUCCCUGGGAAUACGAAAAAUGGAUAACAUACCGGAUAUCUUCCAGGGCAGUGGAGACUUGCUCUUGCACAAUAUCAUGAAGUUUCACCCUGAAGCCUCCGCUUGCAAAGACCAUGGCCCAACUGCGACCUAUAAGACCACUAUGAGGAGUAAAAAAGAAAAAUAUGACUUAAUAAAAUUCAAAAUGUACUCUCUGUGAACAUGAUAGGAAAGAAUGGAGAAAAACAAAUUAUUCAAAUAACAAUACAAUAAAAAUAGGCAUCAGUUUACUCAUUA